rnacentral:rRNA from 1 species
ACGAACGCUGGCGGCGGGCUUAACACAUGCAAGUCGAAGGAGAAGGCGAACUUCGGUUCGUUGGAGACUGGCGCACGGGUGAGUAACGCGUAGGUAACCUGCCUGUUGCUGGGGGAUAACAGUCCGAAAGGACUGCUAAUACCGCAUAAGGCAACGGCUCCGCAUGGAGACCGUUGUUAAAGCUCCGGCGGCAGCAGAUGGGCCUGCGUGCCAUUAGCUAGUUGGUGAGGUAACGGCUUACCAAGGCCAUGAUGGCUAGCUGGUCUGAGAGGAUGAUCAGCCACACGGGGACUGAUACACGGCCCCGACUCCUACGGGAGGCAGCAGUGAGGAAUUUUCCGCAAUGGGCGAAAGCCUGACGGAGCAAGACCGCGUGUGGGAGGAAGGCCUUCUGGGUCGUAAACCACUUUUCUCAGGGAAGAAGCUCUGACGGUACCUGAGGAAUCAGCCUCGGCUAACUCCGUGCCAGCAGCCGCGGUAAUACGGAGGAGGCAAGCGUUAUCCGGAAUUAUUGGGCGUAAAGCGUCCGCAGGUGGCGAUUCAAGUCUACUGUCAAAGCACGGGGCUUAACUCCGUUAAGGCAGUGGAAACUGAAUAGCUAGAGUGCCGUAGGGGUAGAGGGAAUUCCCGGUGUAGCGGUGAAAUGCGUAGAGAUCGGGAAGAACAUCGGUGGCGAAAGCGCUCUACUGGACGGCAACUGACACUCAGGGACGAAAGCUAGGGGAGCGAAUGGGAUUAGAUACCCCAGUAGUCCUAGCUGUAAACGAUGGAUACUAGGUGUAGCUUGUAUCGACCCGAGCUGUGCCGAAGCUAACGCGUUAAGUAUCCCGCCUGGGGAGUACGCACGCAAGUGUGAAACUCAAAGGAAUUGACGGGGGCCCGCACAAGCGGUGGAGUAUGUGGUUUAAUUCGAUGCAACGCGAAGAACCUUACCAGGGCUUGACAUGUCCGGAACCCCGGUGAAAGCUGGGGGUGCCUUCGGGAGCCGGAACACAGGUAGUGCAUGGCUGUCGUCAGCUCGUGUCGUGAGAUGUUGGGUUAAGUCCCGCAACGAGCGCAACCCUCGUCUUUAGUUGCCAGCAUUAAGUUGGGCACUCUAGAGAGACUGCCGGUGACAAACCGGAGGAAGGUGGGGAUGACGUCAAGUCAGCAUGCCCCUUACGCUCUGGGCGACACACGUACUACAAUGGUCGGGACAGAGGGCAGCUAACCUGCGAAGGCAAGCUAAUCCCAGAAACUCGGCCUCAGUUCAGAUCGCAGGCUGCAACUCGCCUGCGUGAAGGAGGAAUCGCUAGUAAUCGCCGGUCAGAAUACGGCGGUGAAUCCGUUCCCGGGCCUUGCACACA